rnacentral:rRNA from 1 species
GUAGUACACGCUGUAAACGAUGUCGAUUUGGAGUUUGUUGCCUAGAGUGAUGGGCUCCGAAGCUAACGCGAUAAAUCGACCGCCUGGGGAGUACGGCCGCAAGGUUAAAACUCAAAUGAAUUGACGGGGGCCCGCACAAGCGGUGGAGCAUGUGGUUUAAUUCGAUGCAACGCGAGGAACCUUACCUGGUCUUGACAUCCAUAGAAUUCUGCAGAGAUGUGGGAGUGCCUUCGGGAACUAUGAGACAGGUGCUGCAUGGCUGUCGUCAGCUCGUGUUGUGAAAUGUUGGGUUAAGUCCCGCAACGAGCGCAACCCUUAUUCUUUGUUGCCAGCGAUUUGGUCGGGAACUCAAAGGAGACUGCCGUUGAUAAAGCGGAGGAAGGUGGGGACGACGUCAAGUCAUCAUGGCCCUUACGACCAGGGCUACACACGUGCUACAAUGGCGUAUACAAAGGGAAGCGAAGGUGCGAGCUGGAGCGGAUCUCAUAAAGUACGUCUAAGUUCGGAUUGGAGUCUGCAACUCGACUCCAUGAAGUCGGAAUCGCUAGUAAUCGUAGAUCAGAAUGCUACGGUGAAUACGUUCCCGGGCCUUGUACACACCGCCCGUCACACCAUGGGAGUGGGUUGCACCAGAAGUAGAUAGCUUAACCGCGAGGGGGGCGUUUACCACGGUGUGAUUCAUGAAUGGGGUGAAGUCGUAACAAGGUAACCA